rnacentral:rRNA from 1 species
AUGGUCGGCGCAGGGGAACUUCGAUCACAUCGCGUCGAGCACGCCGCGACCGUAGAGCUCAAUGGCGUGGCGCAUGUUGCUGGCGGCCUCGACCGCCUCGCCGGCCUCGGCCACGGCUCUGCGAAGGAGCUCCUCGGCCUCCUGCGAUGUGGCGGCGUCCCACCACAGCAACCCGAGGACGUAGUCUACGCACGACGACGCCGACCACAUGAGGUCGAGGGCAGCGCGCCCGUGGCGCCCGGCAUCGGCGCGCGAUCCCUCCCAGGACUGCGACGGCGGCCCAGUGCUGAGGCCAAGCUGGAGGCCGGCGAGGAGGAGGAGAUUGGCCACCUCGUCGUUGGUCGUGAGGACGCGGGACACCGCGGUGUGUGCCGCGACCAGCGCGCGAAGCGCUGCGCUGUACGUGUCGGCGGCGGCCUUCUUGGCGGCGGAGGACCUCACGGCGCUGACGCACUUGCGGAGCUCAGCGUGGGCCGCCUCGAGCUCCGGGAGGUCGGCGCAUCCGCGCAGCAGCGCGCUGGAGCGGAGCACGCCAGGGCCUUCCACGCCUUGUCGUGUACCUCCUCCCGCUUGGCGCUGGGGUGCUCCGAGGCCGCCGCCGCUGGGCGCGUGUUGGAGUGGGCGCUGCGGUGCAGGGGACGAUGGGGAGGCGCGAGGUCGCCGCGGAUGCGCAGGGCGUCGUCCACCCCGUGGAGGUGCUCCGAGGCCGCCGCCGCGGCUCUGGUGGCGGCGAGAAACUCGGCUCGGAAGUAG